rnacentral:rRNA from 1 species
AGGACGAACGCUGGCGGCGUGCUUAACACAUGCAAGUCGAACGGUAAGGCCCCUUCGGGGGUACACGAGUGGCGAACGGGUGAGUAACACGUGGGUAAUCUGCCCUGCACUUCGGGAUAAGCCUGGGAAACUGGGUCUAAUACCGGAUAUGAACUCCUGCCGCAUGGUGGGGGUUGGAAAGUUUUUCGGUGCAGGAUGAGCCCGCGGCCUAUCAGCUUGUUGGUGGGGUAAUGGCCUACCAAGGCGACGACGGGUAGCCGGCCUGAGAGGGUGAUCGGCCACACUGGGACUGAGACACGGCCCAGACUCCUACGGGAGCAGCAGUGGGGAAUA